AUUGAACGCUGGCGGCAUGCCUUACACAUGCAAGUCGAACGGCAGCAUAGGUGCUUGCACCGGAUGGCGAGUGGCGAACGGGUGAGUAAUGCAUCGGAACGUGUCCUGUAAGAGGGGGAUAGACCGGCGAAAGCCGGAUUAAUACCGCAUACGCUCUAGUGGAGGAAAGCGGGGGACUGGAUAGGAAACUAUUUGGCCUCACGCUAGAGGAGCGGCCGAUGCAGAUUAGCUAGUUGGUGGGGUAAAGGCCUACCAAGGCAACGAUCUGUAACGGGUCUGAGAGGAUGGACCGUCACACUGGGACUGAGACACGGCCCAGACUCCUAC
rnacentral:rRNA from 1 species